CCAAAACCGUUUACUACCUUUGCAAAUUUUAUUUGAAAAUUUUUAUAUUUUCGAGAUAUUAAAAAUAUAAAUCUAUGAGUCGAGUUUGUGGAGAAUUAUCUAGUCGCGCCCCUAGCUAGAUGUAUGACUCUAAAUUCUAGGUUAUACCUAUAGAAAUAAAGUUUUAUAUUCCAAAAAUAUUUUUAUAUAAAUUUGGGCCUAAAUAAAUUUAUUUACUUAAAUAUAUUUAUCAUGGACAUUAUAUUAAUUUUGGAUUAAGAAUAAAAUAUUUUCAUAAAUUUUGUUAGUGUUGGGCUUAUUGUUAUUAAUGUGCCAAAUUCUUUUGCAAUGAUCCUAAAACAAUUAUUCAAGUUUCAACAUUUAUAGUUUAUUAAUGAUUUCAAGGAUUUGGAUACCUUAUUUUCGUAUCUGCAAAUUAACAAUUUCUACUCUAUUUAUUUACAUUUGUUUAAAGACGUCUCCAAGCCAGCCAUUCCUAUUUUUUAUUCUUAUCAGAUAUCUAACCGCCCUAAUUAGAUAAAUGACUUUGAACUAUAGAUUAUAUUUAUAAAAAGAUACAAAUUUAUAUUAUCAAAUAUUUUUAAUAAAUAUGUUGGGCCAUAGUUUUUAUUCUUUUUCUAUGAUAAUUGGAUUAAAAUUUUAUUAUUUGAAAGCCCAUUUAUCAUCUUUAAAGCCCAAUUAUUAUUAUAAGUCCAUAUGUCUUUCUUUAAUUAAAAUGAGAUGUUACGUGGUUCAGUUUUUCCUUAGCCACAUAUUCGGAUUUAAUCACCUUCAGUCACCUAAUUUUAUUCAGCCACGUAUCACUCGCUGCUAUCACAUUUAAAAUUCACCCAAAUAACUUGCUAGGUUUCAUUUCAUCAAAAUUUUCCAGAGCACAAAUUUCAUUCAAGUUAACAGACUUCUCAUUUCUGAUAUUUCCUUCACAAAACUUCAGCUGGUAAUUUUAUUGUUUCUGUGAGAUUUCAUGUUUUAAUUCAUCACAGCAAAUUACUACGUUUUUAUUUCAUUCUCAUUUAUUUGUGAAACAACAAGCCCAUUUAUUUAUCAUACAUUACAAGCCCAUAUAUAUAUUAUUAACGUGUAAAUAAAUUUUUAUGAAAAUGACUUCAGCUAUAUAUCCACAUUUACUCAGCUUCAGCCAUAUAUCACUGUAGUACCUUUCCGUCAGAUUUGAUCAAAACUACAGCAAAACUUUGAUUUCUUUCACAUUCAAAUCUUUGACGAACAAGUAAUUUACUACCUAUUUAAAUAUGACCAUCAUCGCUGCAAAUUUUACAAAGCAAAACUAUACUUUCGGAAUAAUCAAGUUUUUCUUUAUUUUUUUCAAAUAUUUUUUUUAUAUGAAUUUGGACCUCAAUAAAUUAUAGCUUAUUUAUAUUGGAGCAGAUUUAUGAUGUUGGGCCAAAUAUAUUAUGUAACUUUGCAUAAUUUUAAAACAUUAGCUAUUAUUAAAUAUAAAUUUUAUUCUUAACAUUUUAGUAUAAUUUGGGCCUUGUAUAAAAUAUUUUUGUAGGCUAUUUGUUUGGGCCUCACUUGUAUUCAUGGGGUAAAAGUAUUGAAAAGCCCAUAAUAUUUUACGAUACUUAUCGAAUGUGAUUCUCUAAAUUUUUGUAGAAUUUCAACCACAAUUUUAAUUCUUCCAGUUUAAGAAUCCUCCUCAGCCAUCCAAUUUAUUUAGUCAAUCUUGUGCAGUAAGGAAUUCAUUUUAUCCUUUCCACCGCCUCACUUUUUUUUAUAAAAUUAGCUUCUCUCAUUUUCUGGAAAUAUUUCGAAAAUACAGCAAGCCAAAUUUGAUUUCCACAGCAGCAAAUUUUGAAGCAGCAAACUUUGAAGCAACAAAGUUUGAUUGAUCUCUUUUCACACUUUCACACGUUCUAUGUCAAAUAUUUCAAUCUAUUUAAACAUCAAUGUAUCAUUCUCAAAUUCAGAAAUCAACAAAAAAAUUCACUCAAAUAUUUCCAAUUCGCAGCAACUGAUUUACUUCACUCAUUCAAGCUGGUGCGGCGCGACUAGGAUAUGAAUUUUAAUUGUAUUACUCAAGUUAGCAUUCAAGUUGAAGUUCAAGUUCAAGUUAAAUUUCCAGGUGUGGGAUUUAUUUCAGUACAUGCACGUGGUUAAUAUUUGUCCAUUUUAAUAUUAUGUGUUUACCGUAUGUGUUGUAAAAAUAUUUAUCGCUAGGGGCCAGCAUAAUUGGUCCAGGACUUCACCGUCCUUGGUAUGCCACAAUGCGAUUUCAUGUUACAGGGUUGAAACCAUUAUAUUGUCGCCAGGGAUCCAUAUAUAGGGUCCGGGACAUUAAAGUCCUUGGAGUUGCCACAGUGCGUAUGGAAGUUAUGUUACGUUAUGACAAUAUGUGUUACCAUUUUAUUAACAUGGACAAUUAUUGCAUGUUCCCACACUGAGUGUACCCUGUAUGCUCAUCCCAUAUUCAACAGUUUCAGGUGAUUGAUAUCGGAGGCGCGUGGAGAGUCGAAUGGGCGCGUCGAAUCUAUUUAAAGAUAAAUGUUUCCUAAAACAUAUUAUGUUAUUUCAUGUGAUAUCUCUUGAUUAUGUAAACUCUGAAAUUCUAUACUAUUUGAGAUUUGUGUGUGAUUUGUUUAAAUAAAUGUUAUUAUAUUAUUUUAAUGUCAUGACUUGUUUAAUUUAUAUUUAAAUUCAUUUCAAAUAUUUAUUUAAGAAUUUAUAUCUUUACGAAAAUAUAUACAUGGAUACAUACAUAAUUUUUAAUUAUAUAAAGAUUUUAUUUUGUUAUAUUUUCCGCUGCUAAAAAGAUAUUAUUUUAUAUUUAGAGUUUUUCCUUAGUACAAGUUUUAUUAAUUAGUUAAUUAUUUUUCUGACAUCUUCAUGUCGUGCUUUGAAAAUAAAGUUGUUAAAUUUAUGAUUUCAAAAUCAAGAUUUAUAUUUGAAUACAUUAUUGAAAAUUUUUGAUAUCUUAUAAAUCGUUUUAAAAGUGCUUUAAAAACCAAUUUUAUUUAAAGGUUUUUUUUUUCUUAAAAUUAUUUUCGAAAAUAUUUAUUUUAAAAGUGAGUUUUAAAUUAUUUUAAAAGACUUCCGCAUUAAAUAUUUAUUUAAAUUUUAUAUUUAACUCCUUAAUUAGAUUAGGGUGUUACAGCAUGGUAUCAGAGCAGGUCUACUUUCCUGUAGACUCUGCAAAAUAUUUUACAUAAAAUUCUUAAAUGUCAUGUGUGAGAAAAUCCAUUCGACCUCUACGUGCUCCGACUUCAAGGUAAAUGUAUUUUAAAAAGUAUUUCAAAAUAUUUUUAUAGGGAUGAGUAUAAAUUGUUUACGUUAAAAGUAUGUUGAAAUUUGCUGCAAUAAUUGAAGUUAUUAUCAGAAAGUUCAAGUUCAUUAUGCAAGUUAUUAUGAGAAAGUUCAGUAUUCAAAUUAUAUGUUGAAGAUUAUUGCAGCUAUGAGUAAAGAUAUUUCAAAUAUUUUUCAAGAGGAUGAGUAUAAAUUAUUUACGUUGAAAGUAUAGUGAAUUUGCUGCAAUGAUUGAAGUUAUUAUGAGAAAAUGUUCAAGUUCAGUAUUCAAGUUAUUAUGUUGAAGAUUAUUGCAACUAUGAAUUGUCAAAUUUCGAGGACGAAAUUCUUUUAAGUGGGUAGGUUUGUCACAGCCCAAAACCGUUUACUACCUUUGCAAAUUUUAUUUGAAAAUUUUUAUAUUUUCGAGAUAUUAAAAAUAUAAAUCUAUGAGUCGAGUUUGUGGAGAAUUAUCUAGUCGCGCCCCUAGCUAGAUGUAUGACUCUAAAUUCUAGGUUAUACCUAUAGAAAUAAAGUUUUAUAUUCCAAAAAUAUUUUUAUAUAAAUUUGGGCCUAAAUAAAUUUAUUUACUUAAAUAUAUUUAUCAUGGACAUUAUAUUAAUUUUGGAUUAAGAAUAAAAUAUUUUCAUAAAUUUUGUUAGUGUUGGGCUUAUUGUUAUUAAUGUGCCAAAUUCUUUUGCAAUGAUCCUAAAACAAUUAUUCAAGUUUCAACAUUUAUAGUUUAUUAAUGAUUUCAAGGAUUUGGAUACCUUAUUUUCGUAUCUGCAAAUUAACAAUUUCUACUCUAUUUAUUUACAUUUGUUUAAAGACGUCUCCAAGCCAGCCAUUCCUAUUUUUUAUUCUUAUCAGAUAUCUAACCGCCCUAAUUAGAUAAAUGACUUUGAACUAUAGAUUAUAUUUAUAAAAAGAUACAAAUUUAUAUUAUCAAAUAUUUUUAAUAAAUAUGUUGGGCCAUAGUUUUUAUUCUUUUUCUAUGAUAAUUGGAUUAAAAUUUUAUUAUUUGAAAGCCCAUUUAUCAUCUUUAAAGCCCAAUUAUUAUUAUAAGUCCAUAUGUCUUUCUUUAAUUAAAAUGAGAUGUUACGUGGUUCAGUUUUUCCUUAGCCACAUAUUCGGAUUUAAUCACCUUCAGUCACCUAAUUUUAUUCAGCCACGUAUCACUCGCUGCUAUCACAUUUAAAAUUCACCCAAAUAACUUGCUAGGUUUCAUUUCAUCAAAAUUUUCCAGAGCACAAAUUUCAUUCAAGUUAACAGACUUCUCAUUUCUGAUAUUUCCUUCACAAAACUUCAGCUGGUAAUUUUAUUGUUUCUGUGAGAUUUCAUGUUUUAAUUCAUCACAGCAAAUUACUACGUUUUUAUUUCAUUCUCAUUUAUUUGUGAAACAACAAGCCCAUUUAUUUAUCAUACAUUACAAGCCCAUAUAUAUAUUAUUAACGUGUAAAUAAAUUUUUAUGAAAAUGACUUCAGCUAUAUAUCCACAUUUACUCAGCUUCAGCCAUAUAUCACUGUAGUACCUUUCCGUCAGAUUUGAUCAAAACUACAGCAAAACUUUGAUUUCUUUCACAUUCAAAUCUUUGACGAACAAGUAAUUUACUACCUAUUUAAAUAUGACCAUCAUCGCUGCAAAUUUUACAAAGCAAAACUAUACUUUCGGAAUAAUCAAGUUUUUCUUUAUUUUUUUCAAAUAUUUUUUUUAUAUGAAUUUGGACCUCAAUAAAUUAUAGCUUAUUUAUAUUGGAGCAGAUUUAUGAUGUUGGGCCAAAUAUAUUAUGUAACUUUGCAUAAUUUUAAAACAUUAGCUAUUAUUAAAUAUAAAUUUUAUUCUUAACAUUUUAGUAUAAUUUGGGCCUUGUAUAAAAUAUUUUUGUAGGCUAUUUGUUUGGGCCUCACUUGUAUUCAUGGGGUAAAAGUAUUGAAAAGCCCAUAAUAUUUUACGAUACUUAUCGAAUGUGAUUCUCUAAAUUUUUGUAGAAUUUCAACCACAAUUUUAAUUCUUCCAGUUUAAGAAUCCUCCUCAGCCAUCCAAUUUAUUUAGUCAAUCUUGUGCAGUAAGGAAUUCAUUUUAUCCUUUCCACCGCCUCACUUUUUUUUAUAAAAUUAGCUUCUCUCAUUUUCUGGAAAUAUUUCGAAAAUACAGCAAGCCAAAUUUGAUUUCCACAGCAGCAAAUUUUGAAGCAGCAAACUUUGAAGCAACAAAGUUUGAUUGAUCUCUUUUCACACUUUCACACGUUCUAUGUCAAAUAUUUCAAUCUAUUUAAACAUCAAUGUAUCAUUCUCAAAUUCAGAAAUCAACAAAAAAAUUCACUCAAAUAUUUCCAAUUCGCAGCAACUGAUUUACUUCACUCAUUCAAGCUGGUGCGGCGCGACUAGGAUAUGAAUUUUAAUUGUAUUACUCAAGUUAGCAUUCAAGUUGAAGUUCAAGUUCAAGUUAAAUUUUCAGGUGUGGGAUUUAUUUCAGUACAUGCACGUGGUUAAUAUUUGUCCAUUUUAAUAUUAUGUGUUUACCGUAUGUGUUGUAAAAAUAUUUAUCGCUAGGGGCCAGCAUAAUUGGUCCAGGACUUCACCGUCCUUGGUAUGCCACAAUGCGAUUUCAUGUUACAGGGUUGAAACCAUUAUAUUGUCGCCAGGGAUCCAUAUAUAGGGUCCGGGACAUUAAAGUCCUUGGAGUUGCCACAGUGCGUAUGGAAGUUAUGUUACGUUAUGACAAUAUGUGUUACCAUUUUAUUAACAUGGACAAUUAUUGCAUGUUCCCACACUGAGUGUACCCUGUAUGCUCAUCCCAUAUUCAACAGUUUCAGGUGAUUGAUAUCGGAGGCGCGUGGAGAGUCGAAUGGGCGCGUCGAAUCUAUUUAAAGAUAAAUGUUUCCUAAAACAUAUUAUGUUAUUUCAUGUGAUAUCUCUUGAUUAUGUAAACUCUGAAAUUCUAUACUAUUUGAGAUUUGUGUGUGAUUUGUUUAAAUAAAUGUUAUUAUAUUAUUUUAAUGUCA